GUUGGGGUCUUCAGCGAUCUGGCGUGGGCUAUGAUGUUCAGGGCUCUGAUAGUGUUGUCCCGUACCUCUCUCCCUGGGAUGAAUCCCGUUUGGUCCGGGUGUACUGCCGUGGGUAGGAGUGGUGCUAGGUGCGCCUCGAGGACGCUUGCCAUGAGUUUGAUGUCCGAGUUUAGUACGGAGAUCGGGCGGUAGCUCAGAAAAAGUGUAGGAUCUUUGCCCUCCUUAGGUAGGAGGGUGAUGUUUGCCGCUGUGAACUUAUAA